GUAGGUGGCAAGCGUUGUCCGGAAUUAUUGGGCGUAAAGCGCGCAGGCGGUUCUUUAAGUCUGAUGUGAAAGCCCACGGGCUCAACCGUGGAGGGUCAUUGGAAACUGGAGAACUUGAGUACAGAAGAGGAAAGCGGAAUUCCACGUGUAGCGGUGAAAUGCGUAGAGAUGUGGAGGAACACCAGUGGCGAAGGCGGCUUUCUGGUCUGUAACUGACGCUGAGGCGCGAAAGCGUGGGGAGCAAACAGGAUUAGAUACCCUGGUAGUCCACGCCGUAAACGAUGAGUGCUAAGUGUUAGGGGGUUUCCGCCCCUUAGUGCUGCAGCUAACGCAUUAAGCACUCCGCCUGGGGAGUACGGCCGCAAAGGCUG
rnacentral:rRNA from 1 species